AAAGAAAAAAAAAAAAAAAAACCUUGAAAGCUCUGAUUUAUGAAGUACCCGUGAUUGCAGAAAACCUUUUCAGUUGAGACCAAACUCCUCAGAGCUCUAAGGCGGCGAAGGUUUUCCGGCGAUGAUCAACCCAGAAAAUCGGAGAACUGGCAAGUGAAUUUGAAUUGAUGAAGUUGCCCACAAAAACCCAGUAGUGGCCUAUCUGUGGGUGGCAAAAUUACGGGUGGCAAAAUUUUGGGUGGUUAGUGUAAUUUUGCGUGGCUUAUCUGCUGUAUGUGAGGAGAAGGAGCUCUUUUAUCAUUAAUUUCACUAUUAUUGCAACUCCACUCCAAUUUUUAUCAUAAAAAUAUCUGAAUUUCACCUCGAGUAAAA
rnacentral:misc_RNA from 1 species